CCAAUUUAUAAUAAUAUUAUUAUUAUUAUUUUUUUUUUUAAUUUGAAUCAUUUGGUAUUAAUUUAUUGUUGCCUAUUGAACUAUCUACAUACGUUCAGGUGGGUAACAUGAUUAUCGAUGAGAUCAUCUGACUAUAUCUGCAGCGAUCAGUGAUUAAUUAUAUCCCGAAACCAAAAUAGUAAUGUCUAUAGUAGUAGUUUCCUAU